rnacentral:rRNA from 1 species
AGCAGCCGCGGUAAUUCCAGCUCCAAUAGCGUAUAUUAAAGUUGUUGCAGUUAAAAAGCUCGUAGUUGAAUUUCGGGACCAAUUUGUUGGUCGUGCCUCGGUACGUACUGGCGUUAUUGGUUCCUCCCUUCUGAAGAACCGCGAUGUCAUUAAUUUGGUGUCGCGGGGAAUCAGGACUGUUACUUUGAAAAAAUUAGAGUGUUUAAAGCAGGCUCGCGCUUGAAUACAUUAGCAUGGAAUAAUGAAAUAGGACGUUUGAUUCUAUUUUGUUGGUUUCUAGGAUCGACGUAAUGAUUAAUAGGGAUAGUUGGGGGCAUUAGUAUUCAAUUGUCAGAGGUGAAAUUCUUGGAUUUAUUGAAGACUAACUACUGCGAAAGCAUAUGCCAAGGAUGUUUUCAUUAAUCAAGAACGAAAGUUAGGGGAUCGAAGACGAUCAGAUACCGUCGUAGU